UACGUAGGGGGCAAGCGUUGUCCGGAUUUAUUGGGCGUAAAGAGCGUGUAGGCGGCCAAGCAGGUCCGCUGUGAAAACUCGAGGCUCAACCUCGAGACGUCGGUGGAAACCGUUUGGCUAGAGUCCGGAAGAGGAGAGUGGAAUUCCCGGUGUAGCGGUGAAAUGCGCAGAUAUCGGGAAGAACACCCGUGGCGAAGGCGGCUCGCUGGGACGUUACUGACGCUGAAACGCGAAAGCGUGGGGAGCAAACAGG
rnacentral:rRNA from 1 species